rnacentral:rRNA from 1 species
AGGAUGAACGCUGGCGGAGUGCCUAACACAUGCAAGUCGAGCGGCAGCGCGAAGAAUUUAUUCUUUGGCGGCGAGCGGCGGACGGCUGAGUAACGCGUGGGAACAUGCCCCAAAGUGAGGGAUAAGCAUCGGAAACGGUGUCUAAUACCGCAUAUGAUCUUCGGAUUAAAGGAUUUAUCCGCUUUGGGAAUGGCCUGCGUACGAUUAGAUAGUUGGUGAGGUAAAGGCUCACCAAGUCUACGAUCGUUAACUGGUUUGAGAGGAUGAUCAGUCAGACUGGAACUGAGACACGGUCCAGACUCCUACGUAGGCAGCAGUGAGGAAUCUUCCACAAUGGACGAAAGUCUGAUGGAGCAAACUCCGCGUGCAGGAUGAAAGG